rnacentral:lncRNA from 1 species
GGAGAUCAAUAGGCUGGGGGGCUGUUAAUCGGCAAUCUAGUAGUGUGAAAUCAUCGCUGUUCGUUCGAAGGUAAAGAUUUUGGUUAAUUAAAGGGUUACCUUUUUCGAUGUGGUUCGGUUUAGUCGCGUUUUAAACUACUAAUAUGGUGAAUUUGUUGGACAAUUAUAGGUUCUGGUGGUCUUGGGAUUGCGUUUGCUGCAAAAACGUACCAGGUGUGUACUCGAAACGCGAAAAAUUCAGUUUCGGCAAAGGUUAAAAAUGGCCACUAUCGACGCCACACGGGCAUGUGGCCGGCCAUGUAGAUGGCUGUGUGCGAGAGACGACCGUGUGAUCGAUGAAGGCAUGGUCGUGCGCAGCACACGGCCGUGUGGUGGCUCGAGUGUGGCCGUGUGGGCCACACGGGAAAGGCCAAGUUGGGCGUGUGGAUUUUGGGCUAGGACGUGUGGACCACACGAGCAGGACCAAUCUAGGCAUGUGGGCCACACGGGCGUGUGGGCCCAAACGAGUAUAUGGGCCCAUAAUUCUAUAAUUUUCCCUAGGGUCGCACGAUUCGCUCUGAUCGAUUGUGUGUAACACCCCUAACCCGUAUUCGUCGUCAGGCUAGGGUUUAGAGACAUUACCGGACAUGUCGGAACAUUUCACGAUCACUUUAGUAUCAAAAGUCAUACAUCGACUUAUCAUAGUCAAACAUCGACAUAAUUCAUUUUUAUAAACAAGCAUAUAACAAGAUAUCCAUUGAUAUACAUCAAUUUUAUAUCAAAUUAUUAUUAUUUUAUCAUACAUUUUAAUAACCUAUAUACAUAUGCAUACUAAACCAUUUCAUUCCAUAUCAUGCGACAUUAAUAAUCAUUAUUUUAUAAAAUAUUACUUAACAUUACCACAUAGCCCCAAUGUACUUUUAAUACUGCUAAAGUAUGCACAAAUCACCAUAAUAUUAAUAACUAUUACUAAACUUAAUUGCCUAACCAAACAUACCAACUUCAUAGGUAAUACAUCAUGCCAAAAUUUACAUAUACCAUUCAAAGCCAUUUAUCUCUUAUUCAGCUAUCAAAAUUAACCACAAAGGUAGUACAAAUUUUCUUUAUUCGAUGUUAAACCAAACCUGUCAUUUCAUUACCAACUAGCCUUACUAAAUAUACACAUUAUACUAGUCCAAAUGUUUAAUCAUCCAUCCAUGACAUAUAUAUAUUACCUAUUAUUGACGAAUAUAAAUAUGUUUCAAAAAUCAUAAUUCAUCUCACAUAGAGAUUGAAUCAAUUUUUAUCAUUUGUCAAAUAUAUUACAAAACAAUUUAUAUAAUCAAAUAUUGAUACAUUUUAAACCAUACUAAUAAACAAAUUCUCAUGGCAUUACAUAACUAUCACAUAUCAAAAACAAUCACACUUGACAUUUACAUCAUAUAAACCGAAUUAUCCAAUGCAUCCUCAAUGAUAUAAUCAUCCUUUUUACUUAACUAACUAAACCGAAUCAUAUCAUCAUCUCACACCUAAAAUGACCUACCUAUCACACUUGCAAAUUAUGCCACUUAAUAGAACAAAUAUACCUAGCAUUUUACCUAUUUAAUCAAACCAAAUCUCAAAACCAUUCCACACAUAAAUUAUACUACAAAUCAUACUUACAAGUUUAGCUAAUACAGAACCGAAAAUCACUAUCAUAGCUUCAUUAGCAAAACACAACCAAAACAAAUCCAUCAUUCUUAUAUCAAGCUCACAAAAAUGAACUAACCAUAAACCAUAUAUACAUAUAUAUUCUUUCAUCAUACCAAAUUCAUAUACCAAGCAUACCAAACAUAUAUAUACCAUGUCCCAAAAUUACUUCAACAUUAGCAUUAAUAUCAAGCCAUUUUUGCAUGGCUAAAUAUCUACAAAUUUCAAGACCAACCAAAAUAAAAGCUAGCUUAUACAUGCCAUACGUUCAAGGUUUCGAGCUUUCAAAAUACCAAAACAGAGAUCAAUAGUGUGACGGACUUCCUUGACGAUCCCCGAGCUCGUAACUAACCUCCAAAAUCUAUAAAACAAUGCAUGAACAAACACACAGUAAGCUUAAAUAGCUUAGUAAGUUAUAAGCAAAUAGUUUAUCAAAGAACAUAUAUAAUUCAUACAAUUAGGCUGAAUACUCUCAAUCUUGAAAACAUAUAUAUAAUCAUUUUUAAGAAAUUAGUUUACAUUUUCAUCUUACACCACAAUACUUACCUUUAUUUCCAACUUUCAUAUAACUCAAAUAUACCUGUUUCAUUUAAAUCGAACUCACAUUCUGUUUUGCCUUGUCUUUGCCCGUAGAAUCAUUCGGAAUCAAAAAGGAUACGAGGAUAACUCAAAAAGCUCGUACAAUACCAACGUCCCAAACGUGGUCUUACAUGUAAUCAAAUAACGAUGCCACUAUCCUAGACAGGGUCUUACACGUAAUCAUAUACGAUGCCAAUGUCCCAGACAUGGUCUUACACGUAAAUCUCAAAUCAAUGCCAACGUCCUAGACGUGGUCUUACACAAAAUCACAUAUCAGAAUCCUGUGGUUCGUACGGGCUUUCGGAUGUCGUAAUUCAAUUGUAUCAACUCGUAAAUAAUUCUCCCAUGCAUAAAAUAAUUCGACCGUUACACAUAUAUUCAUUAAAUUUUAAUUUGGAAUUUAUAAUAUAUAUAUAUAUAUUCUAAUUAACGACAUUUAUUUACUUAUGAACUUACCUUGUAUGGAAACAAAUGGAUGGAAUCGACUACUCGACCACUUUCAACUUUCCCCGAUCUAAUUCUGUUUUCUUUUGUUCUUGAUCUAUAUAAAUUCAAAUUUGGCUAUUUAAUAACACAUUUCAUUCAAAUUUAUUCAAAAACACAUAAAUAGGCAAAUUGCAUUUUACCCCCUAACAUUUCACAUUUUUCACAAUUUAGUCCCUAUUUCACAAAACACAAAAUACUCAAAAUUUCACUAAACCCAUGUUAGGCCGAAUUCUCUUUAAGUCCCUAGCAGCCCAUUCAUUUAAUUUAUUUCACAUUUUGACCCCUAAAUUUACAAAUUUCACAAUUUAAUCCUUAAUAUACAUUUUUAUCAAAAAUUACUUAAUUAAACAUAAUAAUCUAACAACAUAUAUUUAUUUUUCAUCAUUAAACAACAAAACAACAAGCUCUCUUCAAUGGAAAAUCACAAAAUCCACAUCCAAUUCAAAAAUUUAAGCAUGGGUUAACUAGUAUUCAACGCAACAAUCUCAAAAACGUAAAAAUUAUCAAAAAUUGAACAAAGAACAUACCUAAUUUAAAGCCUCAAAGUGCCGAACCUAAAAAACAAUAAUGACUUCUUUUCUCUUCAAGUUUCGGCAAGAACAAAGCCAAAUGCAUGGCCAAUUUGUGUUUUAUUUUAUUUAUUACACAUUAAUACAUAAUUUACUAUUUUAACCUUUAUUAAUUCAUUUAAAAUCCACUAACAUAUGUCCAUAAAAGUCCACUCAUAAAUUCAUUGGUAUAAUAUCAACAUAAGGACCCCACAUUAGAAAAGCCCUAGCAAAUAAGCACUUUAACAAUUAGCUAGCCACUUUUGCAUUUUACGCGAUUAAGUCUUUUUUUUUAAAUAGAGCACACAAAUGAUAAAAUUUUCACACGAAAUUUACACAUAUAAAUUAACAUGUUGUAGACACCAAAAAUAAUAUUAAAAUAUUUUUCUGACUCAAAUUUGUGGUCUCGAAACCACUGUCCGACUAGGGUCUAAACCGGGCUGUUACAUUGUGGGACUACUGUAGGGUCAGUAAGGGCUAAUUAAACCCUAAUCUGUAUUCUAUAAUAUUCUGAUAUUCUGUUCUGAGUAUGUUAAGGCUAUGUAUGUCUAAUUAUUAUGCUAGAUGCAUAUAUGUUAUCUGUAUAUAAGCAUGAUGAGCAUGUUUAUUCUGUUAUAUCUGUAUCUGAUUUCUGCAUCUAUUUAUUAGGGUGCGAUUUGUAUAUGUGGAGGAAAUGUUCUGAAUGGCGAUCAUCGCCUAUAUUCUGGCAGCUUGGCUGCACAUUUUCUAACAUGUGUUGUAACGACACGAUAUGGUGUGUAGGGUUGGGUGGGUGUUUUUAACCCCACAUAGUGUGAUGGGAUGGUCGGAGUUGGUGUGUAGAGGAUGGGGGUAGGAUUUGAUUAUCUUAUCUGUAAAUCUGAUUCUUCAUACUGUAUCUGAAAUGGGCAAGGGCCCGAAUCUGUAUCUAACUGCUUAUGUGAUAAUCUAUGUGAUUGCAUGCUUAAUUCUGUUGGGUUACACACUGAGUUUUAGUAAACUCACAUCUGUUGUCUGUUUUGUCAGGUAAUCCUCAAACUUGGGCGGUUCGGUAUGGCGGAGACUCAGCGGUGACCACUCGUUUGUAAACUACUUAAAGUUAUUAAUUUAUGGUUUUAUUUACGAUUUUGGUUUUAUCCUGAGAGUUUGUAAUUUCUGGGAAUCUCUGGACUUUAUGAUUUUUAACUGUUAUUUUUCUUUGGGUUUGUUGAUUUUCUGCAUGCUUGGUAAA